rnacentral:rRNA from 1 species
AGGACGAACGCUGGCGGCGUGCUUAACACAUGCAAGUCGAGCGGUAAGGCCUUUCGGGGUACACGAGCGGCGAACGGGUGAGUAACACGUGGGUGAUCUGCCCUGCACUUCGGGAUAAGCCUGGGAAACUGGGCCUAAUACCGGAUAUGACCUCAGGUUGCAUGACUUGGGGUGGAAAGAUUUAUCGGUGCAGGAUGGGCCCGCGGCCUAUCAGCUUGUUGGUGGGGUAAUGGCCUACCAAGGCGACGACGGGUA